rnacentral:rRNA from 1 species
UACGGAGGGGGCAAGCGUUAUUAGGAAUUAAUGGGCGUAAAGCGCGCGUAGGCGGCUUUGCAAGUUGGGGGUGAAAUCCCGGGGCUCAACCUCGGAAUUGCCUUAAAGACUGCUUGGCUUGAGUUCGGGAGAGGUGAGUGGAAUUCCCAGUGUAGAGGUGAAAUUCGUAGAGAUUGGGAAGAACACCAGUGGCGAAGGCGGCUCACUGGCCCGCAACUGACGCUGAGGCGCGAAAGCGUGGGGAGCAAACAGG